AUGAAGCCCUCGACCUUGGAGAAAUUUCUUCAUUGUAAAACUGGACCCUGGACCUAUCUGGCUCCUGGAGAAAUUUACUUACCUUUCAAAGACCCACUAUGUCAUCAAGGAGAUCUUUUAAGAGAGGAGGAGGAGGAAUCUAAAGAAGCCGGCCUUUGGGUUACAUAUGUAUAAGCAUAUUCUCCGAUGAACUUCCCAGAUUGAAGCUGAUCAAAUGACUCAUUAACAGAAAACCACGUGAGAUACCAACACAUCACAAGAGCUUCUUAACAACGACGAACCAUUAAUACCUAGUAAGUCAUUAAUAGUGAAUCUAAAUAGCAACUCCCCUCCUGAUGGCAUUGUAAG
rnacentral:lncRNA from 1 species